GGGAUUGCCUCAGUAACGGCGAGUGAAGCGGCAACAGCUCAAAUUUGAAAUCUGGCCCCUUCGGGGUCCGAAUUGUAAUUUGUAGAGAGUGCUUCGGGCGAGGCCUCGGUCUAAGUCCAUUGGAACAUGGUGUCAUAGAGGGUGAGAAUCCCGUAUGCGACCGUGGCUCGAGCCCAUGUGAAGCCUCUUCGACGAGUCGAGUUGUUUGGGAAUGCAGCUCAAAAUGGGUGGUAAAUUUCAUCUAAAGCUAAAUACUGGCUGGAGACCGAUAGCGCACAAGUAGAGUGAUCGAAAGAUGAAAAGCACUUUGGAAAGAGAGUCAAACAGUACGUGAAAUUGUUGAAAGGGAAGCGCUUGCAACCAGACCUGCCCGUAGGCGAUCAGCCGCUGUUUUCAGCGGUGCACUCGCUCUGCGAUCAGGCCAGCAUCGGUUUCGGCGGUCGGAUAAAGGCCUUGGGAAUGUAGCUCCCCUCCGGGGAGUCUUAUAGCCCUCGGUGCAAUGCGGCCAGCCGGGACCGAGGACCGCGCUUCGGCUAGGAUGCUGGCGUAAUGGUUGUAAGCGACCCGUCUUGAAACACGGACCAAGGAGUCUAACAUCUAUGCGAGUGUUUGGGUGUCAAACCCAUGCGCGGAAUGAAAGUGAACGGAGGUGAGAACCCUUAAGGGCGCAUCAUCGACCGAUCCAGAUGUCUUCGGAUGGAUUUGAGUAUGAGCAUAGCUGUUGGGACCCGAAAGAUGGUGAACUAUGCCUGAAUAGGGUGAAGCCAGAGGAAACUCUGGUGGAGGCUCGCAGCGGUUCUGACGUGCAAAUCGAUCGUCAAAUUUGGGUAUAGGGGCGAAAGACUAAUCG
rnacentral:rRNA from 1 species